rnacentral:tRNA from 1 species
GCCUGGGUGGCUCAGUGGUUGAGCAUCUGCCUUUGGUUCAGAUCAUGAUCCUAGGGUCCUGGGAUCGAAUCCUACAUCAGGCU